rnacentral:rRNA from 1 species
UACGUAGGGUGCAAGCGUUGUCCGGAAUUAUUGGGCGUAAAGAGCUCGUAGGCGGUCUGUCGCGUCGGCUGUGAAAACCCGGAGCUCAACUCCGGGCCUGCAGUCGAUACGGGCAAACUGGAGUGUUGCAGGGGAGACUGGAAUUCCUGGUGUAGCGGUGGAAUGCGCAGAUAUCAGGAGGAACACCGGUGGCGAAGGCGGGAUCCUGGGCCAGUACUGACGCUGAGGAGCGAAAGCCAGGGGAGCAAACGGG